AGAGUUUGAUCCUGGCUCAGGACGAACGCUGGCGGCGUGCCUAAUACAUGCAAGUAGAACGCUGAAGAGAGGAGCUUGCUCUUCUUGGAUGAGUUGCGAACGGGUGAGUAACGCGUAGGUAACCUGCCUUGUAGCGGGGGAUAACUAUUGGAAACGAUAGCUAAUACCGCAUAACAAUGGAUGACACAUGUCAUUUAUUUGAAAGGGGCAAUUGUUCCACUACAAGAUGGACCUGCGUUGUAUUAGCUAGUAGGUGAGGUAAUGGCUCACCUAGGCGACGAUACAUAGCCGACCUGAGAGGGUGAUCGGCCACACUGGGACUGAGACACGGCCCAGACUCCUACGGGAGGCAGCAGUAGGGAAUCCUCGGCAAUGGGGGCAACCCUGACCGAGCAACGCCGCGUGAGUGAAGAAGGUUUUCGGAUCGUAAAGCUCUGUUGUAAGUCAAGAACGGGUGUGAGAGUGGAAAGUUCACACUGUGACGGUAGCUUACCAGAAAGGGACGGCUAACUACGUGCCAGCAGCCGCGGUAAUACGUAGGUCCCGAGCGUUGUCCGGAUUUAUUGGGCGUAAAGCGAGCGCAGGCGGUUUGAUAAGUCUGAAGUUAAAGGCUGUGGCUCAACCAUAGUUCGCUUUGGAAACUGUCAAACUUGAGUGCAGAAGGGGAGAGUGGAAUUCCAUGUGUAGCGGUGAAAUGCGUAGAUAUAUGGAGGAACACCGGUGGCGAAAGCGGCUCUCUGGUCUGUAACUGACGCUGAGGCUCGAAAGCGUGGGGAGCGAACAGGAUUAGAUACCCUGGUAGUCCACGCCGUAAACGAUGAGUGCUAGGUGUUGGAUCCUUUCCGGGAUUCAGUGCCGCAGCUAACGCAUUAAGCACUCCGCCUGGGGAGUACGACCGCAAGGUUGAAACUCAAAGGAAUUGACGGGGGCCCGCACAAGCGGUGGAGCAUGUGGUUUAAUUCGAAGCAACGCGAAGAACCUUACCAGGUCUUGACAUCCCGAUGCUAUUUCUAGAGAUAGAAAGUUACUUCGGUACAUCGGUGACAGGUGGUGCAUGGUUGUCGUCAGCUCGUGUCGUGAGAUGUUGGGUUAAGUCCCGCAACGAGCGCAACCCCUAUUGUUAGUUGCCAUCAUUCAGUUGGGCACUCUAGCGAGACUGCCGGUAAUAAACCGGAGGAAGGUGGGGAUGACGUCAAAUCAUCAUGCCCCUUAUGACCUGGGCUACACACGUGCUACAAUGGUUGGUACAACGAGUUGCGAGUCGGUGACGGCGAGCUAAUCUCUUAAAGCCAAUCUCAGUUCGGAUUGUAGGCUGCAACUCGCCUACAUGAAGUCGGAAUCGCUAGUAAUCGCGGAUCAGCACGCCGCGAUGAAUACGUUCCCGGGCCUUGUACACACCGCCCGUCACACCACGAGAGUUUGUAACACCCGAAGUCGGUGAGGUAACCUUUUGGAGCCAGCCGCCUAAGGUGGGACAGAUGAUUGGGGUGAAGUCGUAACAAGGUA
rnacentral:rRNA from 1 species